AGGGAAGGCAUCGAGCUUGAGGAAGAGGCCCCAUUCAUCUCCGUACCCCAGGCCCUGGUACACAGCAGAGAUGGGUUUCACCAUGGUGAUCAGGAUGGUCUCGAACUCCUGACCUCAAGUGAUCCACCCACCUUGGCCUCCCAAAGUGCUGGGAUUACAGGCCUCCAGGCGGGCACGCAUCUUUGUUGUGUUCUCUGCUGACUAUAUCCUCAGCACCUAGAACUGUGUCUGUCACCUAAUAGAUGCUCAAUAAACCUGCCAGUAAUUUCAGCAAAUGAAACGUGGAACACGUCAAGGCCAGAGGAUGGAAAAGGCUCCAGUUUUGAUAAAAGGAGGCCUGCUUGGCUUGGAAUCCUCUCUCCUGCUGGUUGGGAGAUGCAAAGAUGUUUCCAGAGAGGGGCUGAUGAAUUGAGGGGAAAGAAAUGAGCCCAGUAUGAGUCCCCUUUCAGGGCUGAGCGUGUAUAAAACCAAACAACUUGGAACCGCUCCAAGAGAGGGGAUUAAAGCAACAUGUUAUUCUG
rnacentral:lncRNA from 1 species